UCUUGGGAUACUUGGAGUUAAGUGUCCUUGGGUUUGAAUAGUACUAGGCUGGGUGACCUCCUGGGAAGUCCAAACUUCCCGGGAG
rnacentral:rRNA from 1 species